GACGAACGCUGGCGGCGUGCUUAACACAUGCAAGUCGAACGGAAAGGCCCUGCUUUUGUGGGGUGCUCGAGUGGCGAACGGGUGAGUAACACGUGAGUAACCUGCCCUUGACUUUGGGAUAACUUCAGGAAACUGGGGCUAAUAUCGGAUAGGAGCUCCUGCUGCAUGGUGGGGGUUGGAAAGUUUCGGCGGUUGGGGAUGGACUCGCGGCUUAUCAGCUUGUUGGUGGGGUAGUGGCUUACCAAGGCUUUGACGGGUAGCCGGCCUGAGAGGGUGACCGGCCACAUUGGGACUGAGAUACGGCCCAGACUCCUACGGGAGGCAGCAGUGGGGAGUAUGGCACAAUGGGCGGAAGCCUGAUGCAGCAACGCCGCGUGCGGGAUGACGGCCUUCGGGUUGUAAACCGCUUUCGCCUGUGACGAAGCGUGAGUGACGGUAAUGGGUAAAGAAGCACCGGCUAACUACGUG
rnacentral:rRNA from 1 species